rnacentral:rRNA from 1 species
GUCUACAGUCAUACCAUCCUGAAUGCAUCUGAUCUUGGAAGCUAAGCAGGGUUGGGCCUGGUUAGUGUUUGGAUGAGAGAAAACAUUACCCAAAACUUUACUGGACC